rnacentral:ribozyme from 1 species
AAAAAAAAAAAAAAAAAAAAAAAGUGUAUUGUGGGUAAUAUUUUCUCCAGUCUUGUUCCUUCCAGGGUUGUCUGGACAUGGCUUUGAGAGUUUUUUUUUUGUUGUUGGCGUUUC